CGGAUUGGAGUCUGCAACCCGACCUCCAUGGAGCUGGAUUCGCUAGUAAUCGCGCAUCAGCCACGGCGCGGUGAAUACGUUCCCGGGCCUUGUACACACCGCCCGUCAAGCCAUGGAAGCCGGGGGUGCCUGAAGUGCGCUGCCGCAAGGAGCGUCCUAGGGUAAAACCGGUGACUGGGGCUAAGUCGUAACAAGGUAGC
rnacentral:rRNA from 1 species